CACGAGGCUGUAACCUACUACCCAAGAUGGCUGUUGUACCGCAGACUACACAGCCCUUCCCACAAGCAAUUACCUAUGCUGACCCGCUCCUGCUGGCCUUCGACAAAUUGUGCGCUCAGUUCUGGGCGAAGCUGAGUACACGCACACUCACCACUCUACCUACUAGCCCAGGCGAACUCCCCCCGCUCGGGUCCGCGGACCAGCACCACAAGGCGGGUCCAUGCAAACGUGG